rnacentral:rRNA from 1 species
CUAAGAAUAUUCCGCAAUGGACGGAAGUCUGACGGAGCGACGCCGCGUGGAUGAAGAAGGCCGAAAGGUUGUAAAGUUCUUUUGCUGGGGAAGAAUAACCGCAGGAGGGAAUGCCUGUGGGAUGACAAGAACCGGCGAAUAAGCCCCGGCCAACUACGUGCCAGCAGCCGCGGUAACACGUAGGGGGCGAGCGUUGUUCGGAAUUACUGGGCGUAAAGGGCAUGUAGGCGGCUUGGAAAGCCUGGCGUGAAAGUCUGCAGCUUAACUGCAGGGGUGCGCUGGGAACUGCUGAGCUUGAGUGACGGAGAGGGAGCUGGAAUUCCUGGUGUAGGGGUGAAAUCUGUAGAUAUCAGGAAGAACACCGAUGGUGAAGGCAAGCUCCUGGCCGAUGACUGACGCUGAGGUGCGAAAAGUGUGGGGAUCAAAACAGGAUUAGGAUACCCUGGUAGUCCACACAGUCAACGAUGUGCACUAAGGUGCUGGGGCGGUAGCUUCGGUGCCGGAGCG